AGUCGUGAAACCACAACUAUUUAAAUGCAGGAAAUCUGGAUUUUAUAAAAUGUUAAUGUGAUCUGCUCUGAGGACAGUGGGGCUGAGUGCAGCGGCCUGGCUCAAUGCAGGAAAUAUCCCCCCUCUCUGUUUCUACCUCUCUCUCUCUCUUUAUCCAUCUAUUCUGGCCAGCAGAGAGGGAGCCCAGCUGUGUUCCGUUCACCUGCCCCCCCCCCUCCUCCUCCAGGUAUGACAGGGGUCCUGACCAGAGAACCAGCCUGCCUCCUGCCCUGCCCAGAGACCAGAGAGCAGAGAGGAGAGAGUGAAACAGUCUGCGGUGCUGAUCUCGGGGUCCUCGGUGGUGUUGAAGGGGACUGGAGUGAUGCGUACAAAGGUCAACACACGGGAUUCUGGGGAACGUACCAACCCACCUCCAGGCACCAUGGCCUUAGGAUUACUGCAGAUCUGAGUUCAAGUAUUAUUGUUUUCUUUAUCUGGGCUUGAUUGAGCUUGCCUGGCACAGUGGAACCAAUGGAAUAAUCCCAAAAGUCACACAUCCUGCCCAGCUAGCUACACCAGGCACGAACAAUCAAACAGUCAAAGAAUUUGAAAACAAAAGGAUACUGUUUGAACCCAGGUCUGAGGACUACACCCCUCCUCUACCCUCCCCAGCUCCAGCUCCCUGGCCGUUGGUCACAUCAUGUUGCAGACAGACUCUCUAAUGUUUUACUACUGGAAAGGAAGCCUCCUGCCUCCUUUAGAGGAACAUCCGUAUUAAAAUGCAUCAAAGACCAGAGGAAUGAUGCAACAAACAAAGAGAGGAGAGGCUGACUGACCACAGCUGACAGGGCAGACAGCUGAUAGGGUGAGGAGAGGGUUUGAUCUCUCUCCACAGUGCGUGUGUGUGUACGUGUGGAGGACAGUGUGCCCAGGGAGGUGAACAAACUGUGUUUUACUGGAAACAGGCGUAACGUCUUCCUCUCUGAGACCUGAUUCACUUUUUGUUGAAGCGGGGCUGAAGCGUGUUUGGGUACACUUUCUUUCCACAUCCAGAAGCCCUCAGUGUUGGACCACAUCCUUAUACUAUUAUAAAGGUCUUUGCACUUCCUCACCAACGUCUCCAUAUUCUGUUGCUGUGUCGUGUUGCCAUAUUGACUGUAGUGAGGUGUGUGUUAUUACCUGAGUCCUGUAUCUAAUAUAUGGUAAUAUUGUGUUAUUACCUGAGUCCUGUAUCUAAUAGAUAGUAAUAUUGUGCUAUUACCU